AUUGAACGCUGGCGGCAGGCUUAACACAUGCAAGUCGAGCGAGCGGCGGACGGGAGAGUAAUGUCUGGGAAACUGCCUGAUGGAGGGGGAUAACUACUGGAAACGGAAGCUAAUACCGCCUACAAUCAGAUGUGCCCAGAUGGGAUUAGCGAGUAGGUGGGGUAAUGGCUCACCUAGGCGACGAUCCGUAGCUGGUCUGAGAGGAUGACCAGCCACACUGGAACUGAGACACGGUCCAGACUCCUACGGGAGGCAGCAGUGGGGAAUAUUGCACAAUGGGCGAAAGCCUGAUACAGCCAUGCCGCGUGUGUGAAGAAGGCCUUCGGGUUGUAAAGCACUUUCAGCGAGGAGGCGUUACUCGCAGAAGAAGCACCGGCUAACUCCGUGCCAGCAGCCGCGGUAAUUC
rnacentral:rRNA from 1 species